rnacentral:rRNA from 1 species
UACGGAGGGGGCUAGCGUUGUUCGGAAUUACUGGGCGUAAAGCGCGCGUAGGCGGCUUUGUAAGUCAGAGGUGAAAUCCCGGGGCUCAACUCCGGAACUGCCUUUGAAACUGCAUCGCUUGAAUCCGGGAGAGGUGAGUGGAAUUCCGAGUGUAGAGGUGAAAUUCGUAGAUAUUCGGAAGAACACCAGUGGCGAAGGCGGCUCACUGGACCGGCAUUGACGCUGAGGUGCGAAAGCGUGGGGAGCAAAUAGG